CGCUGGUCGGAAAAUCGAAGCAGGGCUUCCCGAGACCGGGGCCGUCCGACCGCGAGCUUCUGUCAGGCCAGACGCAUUUGUCUCCCGCUCGAAGGACGCCGCAGCCGGUCGGGCAGUGCAAACGUGACGGCCUGGAAGGCGGACGCCGGCAGGUGGCCGGUGGCGGGCCUCGUGCUCGUCGCCGGUUGUUAGCCAGUCCGUCGGUGGCCCGUCGCCCGACCGAGGUAUCGAGAUGCCCUCCGGGGCUCUCGCGUCUCCUCCCUCGCCGGAUGCCGGGACGGACCGUCGCGAGCGAAGGCAGCCGCGCCGCCGCACUCCGACGGAGUGGGCGAGCUGCACGUCGGCGCCGACCGCGACGGCGGGCCCGUAGGAGGUUGGAGGUUCGCGGCGAGUAGGUCGGUCACCCACCCGACCCGUCUUGAAACACGGACCAAGGAGUCUAACAUGUGCGCGAGUCAAUGGGUCUCGAACAAGCCCAGAGGCGCAAUGAAAGCGAAGGUCGGCAGCCCGUCGACCGAGUCGGGAUCCCGCGUCCCAGUGGCGCGGGCGCACCGACGACCCGUCCUAUGCGGCUCGCCGCUUGGGCGGAGUGUGAGCGUACACGUUGGGACCCGAAAGAUGG
rnacentral:rRNA from 1 species